AACGCGUGAGCAACCUGCCCAUAUCAGGGGGAUAGCCCGGAGAAAUCCGGAUUAACACCGCAUGACACUGCUUUCCGGCAUCGGGAGGUAGUCAAAUAUUCAUAGGAUAUGGAUGGGCUCGCGUGACAUUAGCUAGUUGGUGGGGUAACGGCCCACCAAGGCGACGAUGUCUAGGGGCUCUGAGAGGAGAAUCCCCCACACUGGUACUGAGACACGGACCAGACUCCUACGGGAGGCAGCAGUAAGGAAUAUUGGUCAAUGGGGGCAACCCUGAACCAGCCAUGCCGCGUGCAGGACGACUGCCCUAUGGGUUGUAAACUGCUUUUGUUAGGGAAUAAACCCCGCUACGUGUAGCGGGCUGAAUGUACCUAAAGAAUAAGGAUCGGCUAACUCCGUGCCAGCAGCCGCGGUAAUACGGAGGAUCCGAGCGUUAUCCGGAUUUAUUGGGUUUAAAGGGUGCGUAGGCGGCACUUUAAGUCAGGGGUGAAAGACGGCAGCUCAACUGUCGCAGUGCCCUUGAUACUGAAGUGCUUGAAUGCGGUUGAAGACGGCGGAAUGAGACAAGUAGCGGUGAAAUGCAUAGAUAUGUCUCAG
rnacentral:rRNA from 1 species